UCAAUAACUCUGGGAAUGUAUUCAGUUGCGCUGCAAAUUAGAGAGUAAGCCUCGGUGCAAUAACGCUGGAGACUGACAGAUUGCGGAUUUGUAGAAAUAACAGAGAACUCAGAAAAAGACUGUACUUUUGCUGCGGCAAAUCCUUCAUUUCAAGGAACCAGCAAGGGCACAGCUGCUCCCAUGGCUGGUGGCUCGUGUUGGACGUGAAGCAGCGCCAUGCUGAAAAGACCAGGGGAUAUAGGUUGGACAGCUCGAAAUACGACUGAACCAAAGAGAAGAGAACAUGGAGCAGAGCUGAGCUGACCUUACUCUAGGCUGUGGAAAAAAAG